rnacentral:rRNA from 1 species
AUUAGCCAUGCAUGUCUCAGUGCAGCCGUAUUAAGGCGAUACCGCGAAUGGCUCAAUAUAUCAGUUUUGGUUCCUUAGAUCUUACCUCGGUUACUUGGAUAACUGUGGUAAUUCUAGAGCUAAUACAUGCAAUCAGAACUCUGACCAGUGAUGGGAUGAGUGCUUUUAUUAGAUCAAAACCAAUCGACGGAGGGCCUCGCGUCCGAAGUCGUUAAUUUUGAUGAAUCUGGAUAACUUUUGCCGAUCGCAUGGUCCAGCACCGGCGACGCAUCUUUCAAAUGUCUGCCUUAUCAACUUUCGAUGGUAGUUUCUGCGACUACCAUGGUUGUCACGGGUAACGGGGAAUCAGGGUUCGAUUCCGGAGAGGGAGCCUGAGAAACGGCUACCACAUCCAAGGAAGGCAGCAGGCGCGCAAAUUACCCACUCCCGGCACGGGGAGGUAGUGACGAAAAAUAACGAUACGGGACUCUUACGAGGCCUCGUAAUCGGAAUGAGUACACUUUAAAUAUUUUAACGAGGAACAAUUGGAGGGCAAGUCUGGUGCCAGCAGCCGCGGUAACUCCAGCUCCAAUAGCGUAUACUAAAAUUGUUGCGGUUAAAAAGCUCGUAGUUGCAUUUGUGCGCCGCGCUGUCGGUGCACCGCAUCCGCGGUGAUACUGACACGUCUGCGGAGCAUAUCGUCGGUGAGCCGUCGGUAAAACGGCGGUUCAAUAUCAAAAUCCUAUCGCGGUGCUCUUCGGUGAGUGUCGAGAUGGGCCGACAAUUUUACUUUGAACAAAUUAGAGUGCUCAAAGCGGGCUCAAAAUGCUGCUUGAAUAUUUCGUGCAUGGAAUAAUAGAAUAUGAUCUCGGUUCUAUUUUGUUGGUUUUCAGAACUCCGAGGUAAUGAUUAAUAGGGAUAACUGGGGGGCAUUCGUAUUGCGACGUUAGAGGUGAAAUUCUUGGAUCGUCGCAAGACGAACAUCAGCGAAAGCAUUUGCCAAAGGUGUUUUCAUCAAUCAAGAACGAAAGUUAGAGGUU